CCAUUUCCUGCGCUUUCACAAGGCUUGAAAGACUACUGCAAAGGCUUUCACAGCAACUGCUACUCUCGCUAAUUUGCUUUGGUUAUUCGAGAGUUUGAAUUUUGCUGAAAACAUGUUUGUGGCGGAGGCGGCUGUGUCUUCCAUCUUUGAUCUGGUGAUUGGGAAGUUGGCGGCUGCCACCGCUGCCCCUUUGUUGGAGUAUGCACGCAGGCAGAAUGUUGAGGCCACCCUCCAAGAAUGGAGGACGACUUUGUCGCAUAUUGAAGCUGUGCUGAUUGAUGCUGAGCAGAAGCAGACAAGGGAGAUAGCUGUUAAGCUUUGGUUGGAUGAUCUCAAAUCUUUGGCUUACGACAUGGAAGAUGUUCUGGACGAGUUCAACACUGAAGCUAAUCUGCAGAUCCUGAUACAUGGACCCCAAGCUAGCACCAGUCAGGUACACAAGCUCAUCCCAACUUGUUUUGCUGCUUGUCAUCCUACAUCUGUCAUAUUUAAUGCAAAGGUUGGUGGAAAGAUAAAGAAAAUUACAAGGGAGUUGGAUGCUGUUGCAAAACGAAAGCAUGACUUUCAUUUAAGGGAGGGUGUUGGAGGGUUGUCGUUUGAGAUGGAAGAAAGGUUACAAACCACUUCCUUGGUAGAUGAGUCUAGCAUUUAUGGUAGGGAUGCUAAGAAGGAGGCUAUCAUUCAAUUUCUCUUAUCCGAGAAAGCCUCCAGGGAUAAUGGUGAUAAUGGAGUUUCUGUAGUUCCCAUCGUAGGUAUGGGUGGGGUUGGUAAAACAACCCUGGCUCAAAUUAUCUACAAUGAUAAGAGGGUGGAGAGCCACUUUGAUACCAGGAUUUGGGUUUGUGUAUCGGAUCGAUUUGAUGUGACAGGGAUAACCAAAGCAAUUCUAGAGUCCGUCACUCAUAGUUCAACUGAUUCUAAGAACUUAGAAUCAUUACAAAAUAGCCUGAAGAAUGGAUUGAAUGGGAAAAGAUUCUUCCUCGUUCUAGAUGAUGUGUGGAACGAGAAGCCCCAAAACUGGGAUGCCUUAAAGGCUCCUUUUAGGGCUGGUGCACAAGGCAGUAUGAUCAUAGUAACAACUCGUAAUGAAGAUGUUGCAUCGAUUAUGCGCACUACUGCCUCUUCUCAUCACCUUGAUGUGCUAUCCUAUGAAGAGUGUCGGCUAUUAUUUGCAAAACACGCCUUUGCACAUAUGAAUACAAACAUCCGCCAAAAGUUGGAACCAAUUGGUGAGAAGAUAGUAAGAAAAUGCAGAGGCUUGCCUUUGGCUGCAAAGUCGCUUGGAAGUCUAUUACACACUAAACAAGAUGAAAAUGCUUGGAAUGAAGUACUGAAUAAUGACAUAUGGGAUUUUCCAAUUGAACAAAGUGACAUUCUUCCAGCUUUAUACUUGAGUUACCAUUAUCUUCCACCAAAUUUGAAACGAUGUUUUGCAUAUUGCUCCAUAUUCCCCAAGGACUAUAAAUUUGAAAAAAGGAACUUAGUGUUGUUAUGGAUGGCAGAAGGCUUAUUAGGUGGCUCUAACGGGGAGAAAAUUAUAGAAGAUUUUAGUAACACAUGCUUUGAAAAUUUACUUUCAAGAUCUUUUUUCCAACGAUCCAUUGAUGAUGAAUCACUAUUUCUGAUGCAUGAUUUAAUUCAUGAUUUAGCACAAUUUGUAUCGGGGAAAUUUUGUUCUUGGUUGGAUGAUGGAAAGAAAAAUCAAAUUUCUAAGCAGACCAGACAUUCUUCUUAUAUUAUUGCAAAGGAAUUUGAACUCUCCAAGAAAUUUAAUCCAUUUUAUGAAGCUCAUAAUUUGCGGACCUUUCUUCCUGUACAUACAGGUCAUCAAUCUCGUCGUAUCUUUUUAAGCAAGAAGAUCUCAAAUCUUUUAUUGCCAACACUGAAAUGCUUACGGGUUCUCUCUUUAGCUCAUUAUCAUAUUGUGGAGUUGCCUCGCUCAAUUGGAACUUUGAAACACCUACGCUACUUAGAUCUUUCUCGUACUUCAAUUAGAAGGCUCCCUGAAUCAAUAACCAACCUUUUCAACUUGCAGACAUUGAUGUUGUCAAAUUGUCAUUCUCUUACUCAUUUGCCCACAAAAAUGGGGAAACUAAUCAACUUGCGUCAUCUUGAUAUUAGUGACACUAGCUUAAAGGAGAUGCCAAUGGGAAUGGAAGGGUUGAAACGUCUUCGAACAUUGACUGCUUUUGCUGUUGGUGAGGAUAGAGGGGCAAAAAUUAAAGAGUUGAGGGAGAUGUCACACCUUGGUGGCAGACUUUGCAUUUCCAAGUUGCAGAAUGUGGUGGAUGCUAUGGAUGUCUUCGAGGCUAACAUGAAAGGCAAGGAGCGUCUUGAUGAGUUAGUAAUGCAGUGGGAUGGCGAUGCUACUGCUCGUGAUUUGCAGAAGGAAACAACUGUGCUUGAAAAGCUACAACCUCAUAACAAUUUGAAAGAGCUGACCAUCGAGCACUAUUGUGGUGAAAAAUUUCCUAACUGGUUAGGCGAACAUUCAUUUACUAAUAUGGUGUCCAUGCAACUCCACGAUUGUAAAAAUUGCUCAUUCUUGCCAUCGCUAGGGCAACUUGGAUCUCUCAAGGAGCUCUCUAUUAUGAGGAUUGAUGGAGUGCAGAAGGUGGGACAAGAGUUCUGUGGGAAUAUUGGGUCUUCUUCGUUUAAGCCAUUUGAAGCCCUAGAGAUUCUGAGGUUUGAAAAGAUGUUAGAGUGGGAGGAAUGGGUUUGUCGUGAAAUUGAAUUCCCUUGUUUGAAGGAGCUUUGUAUCAAGAUAUGUCCAAAGCUGAAAAAGGAUUUACCCAAACACCUUCCUAAAUUAACAAAACUUGAGAUUAGAGAAUGCAAGCAGCUGGUGUGCUGUCUUCCAAUGGCUCCCUCCAUUCGUGAAUUGAUGUUGGUGGAAUGUGAUGAUGUGGUGGUUAGGAGUGCGGGCAGUCUCACCUCAUUGGCUUCCUUGGAUAUACGCAAUGUUUGUAAAAUACCAGAUGAAUUAGGACAACUGAAUUCUCUUGUAAAGUUGUCUGUGAGUGGUUGUCCCGAGCUAAAGGAAAUGCCACCCAUUCUUCACAACUUGACAUCUCUUAAACACUUGGAUAUCCGGUACUGUGACAGUCUUUUGUCUUGUUCAGAGAUGGGGCUACCACCAAUGCUUGAAAGGCUUCAAAUUAUUCACUGUCCCAUUCUGAAGUCCCUAUCAGAGGGAAUGAUACAAAAUAAUACUACUCUCCAACAAUUGUACAUCUCGUGCUGUAAAAAAUUGGAGUUAUCAUUGCCUGAGGAUAUGACGCACAACCACUACGCUUUCCUUACUCAAUUAAAUAUAUUUGAAAUUUGUGAUUCUCUCACGUCCUUUCCUUUAGCUUUCUUCACAAAGCUUGAGUAUCUUCAUAUCACAAAUUGUGGCAAUCUGGAGUCCCUUUACAUUCCAGAUGGACUUCACCACGUGGAACUCACAUCUCUCCAGUCAUUGGAAAUAUCUAAUUGCCCUAAUCUGGUAUCUUUUCCACGAGGAGGAUUGCCCACUUCCAAUUUAAGACGGCUUGGGAUACGUAACUGCGAAAAACUUAAGUCACUGCCCCAAGGGAUGCACGCCCUCCUUACAUCCCUUCAAUAUUUGCAUAUAUCUAGUUGUCCAGAAAUUGAUUCAUUUCCAGAAGGAGGUUUGCCCACUAAUUUAUCUGACCUUCACAUCGGGAAUUGCAACAAACUCUUGGCUUGUCGGAUGGAGUGGGGCUUGCAAACGCUACCCUUUCUUAGAACGUUGGAGAUUGAAGGAUAUGAGAAAGAAAGAUUUCCCGACGAGAGAUUUCUGCCCUCCACUCUCACCUUCCUUCAAAUUAGGGGUUUUCCAAAUCUGAAAUCCCUGGACAAUAAGGGCCUUCAGCACCUCACCUCUCUUGAAACUCUGGAGAUUUGGAAAUGUGGAAAGCUCAAGUCCUUCCCAAAACAGGGGCUGCCCUCCUCCCUUUCUCGUCUUUAUAUUAGAAGGUGUCCUCUGCUGAAGAAACGGUGCCAAAGGGAAGAAGGGAAAGAAUGGCCCAACAUUUCUCACAUCCCCUGCAUAGUGUUCGACAGAUACGAUAAGAAAAAUACGGAGGUGAUCUUAUCAUGAGGCCCUUCCAUUGAAGCUCUUGCUCUCCUCUGCAUUUAUUGGCCCAGGAGUAUCUACUAUCAUCUUAUUGAUGGAGGAAGGUUGUCCACCAGAAUUGUCAGUUUACUUGAUUCACUACUUGGUUUUUGCAAGCACAUCAAAAUGUAGGGAACAAAUGGAAAAAUCUACGUGGUAAAGCCCAAGCAGACAAAUCAUUCCUUCCCAGACAUUACGAUUUAGAUUCUUCAGAUAUGUCAAAGGAUUCAACAAAUGUAUUCAUAGAUUCUAAUUAGCUAUGCGUCUAAAGCAUCCGACUAAUAUCAUUGGUAGAGAAAGAUUGUGCACUUUUUGAUAUCUGCAUGUAUGAUGCCACAAAGGGAGCAAAAUUUUCCUACCCGAUGAAGGACAUGUGGGCAUAUCAUCCAUAAGAGAAUGUUUUGAAAAAGUUCAGAUAGAAUGGAGUGUUUUGGAAAAUGUAUUAGCAGCUGCAAGGUACCUUGCCCUCAAUUAGGGGCCACACCUGAAUGUGGAUUCAAAUGCUCUGAAUCUCAUAAUGUGAGGACAACAUCUAGUUUGUCGUUGUUCUUGUCAAGAGAUUGUUUUUCUCUGCUCAAGAUUUCAAUCUUAGGCAUUUCUGAUCACUGCUACCAAUCCAAAAUCCUGAAGGCAAUGUCAUUGCAUUGAUUCCAUGAUCUUGCUUCAAACAAAAGUUUAGUACUCUGCUUAAGGAUUGCCAUUGCGGCUGCUCCAUUCCUUGAAAGCUGUUUAAACAUGUCUCCCACUUCAUGUUAUUCUGCUUCUGCACUGGGCAUCAUUGAAGCAUUUUAAAAAGGGUACUGUACUUGUACCUGCAUAACUGCCACAGGAGGGAUAUUUGAAGGAGACACCAUUGGAGCAUGUCAAGGUGCAUUCUACUGAUGUCAACCAUAAAUGACACGUCCUAAACAUUGGGAAUUUCAAUGCAAUAAAAAGGUCUUGGACAUGCCAUUCUGUAUAGGAAGAGCUUAAUCAGGUAUGCAGACUGAUUCUCCUCUUGGUGAUUAGGUUUAGUAGCUUGAAUUCAAGUAUUCAAACCUAUUCCUGCCAUCUUCUUAUACUCUUCUGUUUCCCUAAAUAAUUUGUAAGUAAUUUUUAUAAUAUUUUAUUUAUUGAAUCUAUGUUUGGAAAAACUUCUUAAAUGCUAAAAACAAGAUUUGAAGGUCAAAUUCAACUUUUGAUGACAUUAGAUAGAAUUAUUAAACUAGACCUUACACUUUCUCAGUAUAAUUUACCUAAAAAUACAAACAUCUUUAUUUUUCCUUUAAUAAAAGUUCAAUUAAAUCUUUUACACCCUCAUCUUUAAUAAAAGUAUUAAAAUUAUAAUCAUCAAACAUAAUAUCUACUUUUGCUGAAUGCUUUGAAUUUAAUAAUAUGGGAAUGACUAUCCUACGUCAUUUAUUUGGUUAUUGAGGAUUACAGUCUAUAAAAAUUCAAUCUACAUUGUUUUAGUGAAGUACUGUAAGUCUGUAUUAUGUGGUUACCCUUACACCUAGAUUCCCAUUCAUGCUAUGAAGAGUUUGGAAGAGGUAUUUAUGUCGCAUAAGCAUGAUCAAAAUGUCUCUUUCACUUUCACUAUCAAAAUAUCCUUUGCUUUUAGGUAUGUCUUCUACUUUCUGAAAAAAUAUUUUGUUUUGCCUUAUACUGAGAAUUCACACAAUGAAUUUCAAUUGGAGAUAACCUUAUUUGUAUCCUAUUUCUAGAAAUGUCCUCCUUAUCUAUAUCCUAUUUCUAGGACUGUCACACCUAUAUGGUGGAUUCAAAUGAUUUGAACCUCAUAAUGUGAAGACAACUUGUCCUAUGCUAUUGUUGGUGUUUUGACCACUGAAGAUUGCCAUCCUAGGAGUUUUAGUCGCUGCUAGCAGUCAAGAAUCCUUUAGACAAAUGCAUGCAUUUACAUUUAUUCCAUGAUCUUGCUCCAAAGAAAAGUUUUUUACUCAUCUGCGGAAGGAUUGUAAUUGUGAGUGCUCCAUUCUUUGGAAGGUAGCACUACUUGUCAAGAGUUGUAGCUCAUGUGAUUUGGUGUUCUGUUUAUUAAUUUACACUUCGGUUGAUAUAAUAUUUGGUUGUCACUCUUUAAUUUGGUUGACAUAAUCUAGGUAGAAAUUCUACCUAGAUUUUUUGUUUUGGUAUUUCAUUUCUGUUAUUUAGUUUUGAAGAUCAUAUGAUGUUUUUUUUUUUAUUGGACGUUUUGAAGAUCAUAUGAUGUUACUAGCUUUAAUUUGCAUUGACCCGCUUUUCUAUAAAAUGCUUGAGUUUUCUUUACUACUAUUAAAUACAAGCAAUUGUGAAAAACUAUAGGUUAUCUCUUUUAAGGUAGAAGAGAUUUAUUUUGAUGUCCUACAACCUAUUUUCAUUUUUUACUUCUAUAAAUGUAAACUAUAUUAUUUCUUAAUCUUUAAUAGUACAAAUGAAACAUAAAUGUUAAUAUUAGCAAAGCAUUCUCCAUGUGUUGCACUAGAUUCAGUAGUUAUGUAAAAGGCUGAAAGAUGAUGACCUAUCCAAGAGAAAAUACCGAACUAUUAGAGUUAUCAAUAUAUCUUUGCUUAUAUUAGGCUGCUCUCUAUCUUUAAAGUAUGGUUCAGAGGUUAUCGUAUGCGUUCUGUUUCACUGGUUUCCAUUUUGAUGGUCAAGAUAAUUAGGAUAGGGCUGAAACAUUGUUUCCCAUUAUUAUGCAUUUUGGUAAUCUCUUCUCUCAACAAAAUUACUUCUUUCAUUUCAACAAUACUGCUCAAAUCCUUUAUCAAUUUCACUUUUACUUUGAAUAGUCUUUUUUCCUGUUGGUUUGUCUGUUUUCCUCCAAAUUGGUUUUAGACUGUUAGCAUGAAAUUAAAGAGUAACAUAAACUCCAAUUGAACAAAUUUGUUUACCUUCAAUGAAGCAUUCAACUGUUUACUGGUGGAUAAAAAAUAUUUAACUGUUUUAUCAGUUUCUUAUUCAUUUGGCACCAUUGUAGCAUAUGAAAAAGGUACUUGAACCAAAGUAGCAGCCAUUGCAAAGACAUUUGAUGGAGGCUUCAUUGGAGCAUGUCAGGAUGGUUAAUGAGCCUUUCUCAAGUCAACAUUAAAUGGUAGGUUCUAAACUUUGGAAUUUCAACACAAUAAAAAGGUACGCAAAUUAGAUGGUUUUUGUGCCUACAGCAGAUGCACUUUCACACUAGCACCUUAGUUUUAGAGUUUUUGUGAAAUUUGUGGAUGUAUUUACAACUGCUUGCUCCUAGGAUGUUGACCAACAAGAUUGCUUGUGGGAAGGUGACGUGGAAUCACAAAUAAGUGAAAUGAUAUGCAAGGGAUAUGCAAUUGAUACCCGUCCCUAUUCUGCUGACUUGAAUGUGACUCAAGUACAUCAUUAUGCAUGUCUUCGGCUAACGGUAUUCAGACAGAUUUCUGCCACCUUCAACUAUGGUCUUCUGUCACCAUAUAACCAUGUGUUAAUGUUCAUCCUAAUAACUUAAUUCUCAUGCCCUAACUUGAAGAAAUGAUGGACAACCAAGUAUGAGAAAUGAGGAAAAAUUAAAAGAGAAGCUAUUAAAUUUGGAAAAACAGAGUAUUGCUGUUUGAAGUAGACUGAAAUGUGCAAGGAUUUGUCAUUGAUGUAGGCUUCUACUGUAACGACUAUAGUUUUCCAUGUUAAUGGAGUUUCAUGCUGGCUCCUUGCUACAAUGGAACUAUAAUGUCCUCCAUGCACCUUUCAGUAACUCUUAAGGUUGUAAAUAUGGCUCCGUAUACGGAUGCUUGUUCAUAUGAUGUAUAGACGCGGCGAGUGGAGAAUUGGUUCUCAUAGUUGCUGCAAAUUUGGUGCAGAAUCACAAGCACUCAGACUACUGGAUGACUAGGCAUCAGAACAAGCUAUUCAGUAUUUUUUUUUUCUCCAUUGAAUAGAUGGAAUUAAAACAUGAACAAUUGUGGAAAGAAAGGAACCGCCUUCUUCAUUAUUGAUUCAUAUAUCAACGAAAAUGGCAACAUUUGCAGCUGUUGGAAACCUACAUGACAACAGUUCUUAGGUCUUUUAAUUUUGAAUACAUGAAACAUUUUUCCCAAUA